rnacentral:misc_RNA from 1 species
GACCGUAGCAAACUGCGA